rnacentral:rRNA from 1 species
GACGAACCGUGCGAACGUUGUUCGGAAUCACUGGGCUUAAAGCGUGUGUAGGCGGGCCGUUAAGUAUCUUGUGAAAUCCCCCGGCUCAACCGGGGAAUGGCUGGAUAUACUGGCGGUCUUGAGCAAUCUAGGGGCAGAUGGAACAGACGGUGGAGCGGUGAAAUGCGUAGAUAUCGUCUGGAACGCCAAAGGUGAAGACAGUCUGCUGGGGAUUCGCUGACGCUGAGACACGAAAGCCAGGGGAGCGAACGGG